ensembl:lncRNA
CUUCAUCUUCUUCAUCAUCAGCUGCUCAGUGACUCUGUUGGACGUCUCACCGUGUGGCAGCAGCUCAGGAGUUUGCAGUCAACCAAGGCCGACUCAGAAUCACUCCCACCGGGAAGAUCUGUGAAGGAAGGUCCACCCGGCUGGUCCAGAAGCUCCGGUCCAGCAGAGCAGCGUCAGGAUGGAGACGUAACCGGUGUUGAUGUCACCGCCUUGACGAAUAGAAGAAAAGCCUAUAUUUGGGUAUGUAGGACUGGUAGUCCAGAGGUAGUGGUGGUGGUUUGGAACCUGGAGAGUGCAGGUUCGAUCCCCCACCCUGCUCAAGCUUUUUUUUUUACAUUUGGGCAAAAUUUGCCAAAAAUCUGCCUUCGUGCCUUCGUGCCUUCGUGCCUUCGUGCCUUCGUGCCUUCGUGCCUUCGUGCCUUCGUGCC